rnacentral:rRNA from 1 species
GAUGAACGCUGGCGGCGUGCCUAAUACAUGCAAGUCGAGCGGACCAAAGAGAGCUUGCUCUCUGAGGUUAGCGGCGGACGGGUGAGUAACACGUGGGUAACCUGCCUGUAAGACGGGGAUAACUUCGGGAAACCGAAGCUAAUACCGGAUGAUAAAGAGAAACGCCUGUUUCUUUUUUGAAAGUCGGCCUUGUGCUGACGCUUACAGAUGGGCCCGCGGCGCAUUAGCUAGUUGGUGAGGUAACGGCUCACCAAGGCAACGAUGCGUAGCCGACCUGAGAGGGUGAUCGGCCACACUGGGAAUGAGACACGGCCCAGACUCCUACGGGAGGCAGCAGUAGGGAAUCUUCGGCAAUGGACGAAAGUCUGACCGAGCAACGCCGCGUGAGCGAUGAAGGCCUUCGGGUCGUAAAGCUCUGUUGUCAGAGAAGAACAAGUACCGGAGUAACUGCCGGUACCUUGACGGUACCUGACCAGAAAGCCACGGCUAACUACGUGCCAGCAGCCGCCGUAACAC